AUUGAACGCUGGCGGCAUGCCUUACACAUGCAAGUCGGACGGCAGCACGGGAGCAAUCCUGGUGGCGAGUGGCGAACGGGUGAGUAAAGUAUCGGAACGUGCCCAGUCGUGGGGGAUAACGUAGCGAAAGUUACGCUAAUACCGCAUACGAUCUAUGGAUGAAAGCGGGGGAUCGCAAGACCGCGCGCGAUUGGAGCGGCCGAUAUCAGAUUAGGUAGUUGGUGGGGUAAAGGCCCACCAAGCCGACGAUCUGUAGCUGGCCUGAGAGGACGACCAGCCACACUGGGACUGAGACACGGCCCAGACUCCUACGGGAGGCAGCAGUGGGGAAUUUUGGACAAUGGGCGAAAGCCUGAUCCAGCCAUGCCGCGUGCAGGAUGAAGGCCUUCGGGUUGUAAACUGCUUUUGUACGGAACGAAAAGGACUGCCCUAAUACGGUGGUCCCAUGACGGUACCGUAAGAAUAAGCACCGGCUAACUACGUGCCAGCAGCCGCCGUAA
rnacentral:rRNA from 1 species